GACCAAGGUCAGAAGAAAAUGGAGGGAAAAGGAGCCCCAUAUGCCACGCUGCUACAUUUUCCUCGUAUUGAACGAUAUUUUGGCACUGAAUACCCCAGCAACCUAUUAGGUGCCGAAUUUGCCAAUGAAGAAGUGAAGAGUUUGUUCCAGCUGUCCAAAGGUCUGAACGCGUACAUCCGGCUUUAACACGACGACUGGAUGGUGACUCCUAACUACCGCUUACUGGAUGCCUGGAUGACGUCAGAUUUGAAUGGCCAGCACCUGCAUCCAUGCCAAGAUUGUCUCGCUUGUCGAAGUUUGGCUGUUGCUGGUUUAAUACUAUAUGUGUGCUUGUAAGUCGUAAUACCCGUACAGUGCUCUCUCCACUCACGAUGAUUUUUAUUGUAAUUUGUUAGAAGAUUUUUUGUUUCAUCAGUUCUCGAACCUGAAACGACAGUUUUGGAGCACCCGUUAAACAGAUUUGAUGUCGAUGAAAAAUACCUUGGUUAAGGGAUGUAUGGAAACAAAAUGAUUGAGAGAUCGUUACAAAAUUAUCAAAAAUGAUCAAGUGAUUGCCGUAAAAUUAUCAGUAAGCCAUGGUAGAGCACUGUGCUAGUACGGCCGGUUUUCUGUUUUGUUGUAAACUGAUGUGUGGACAAAUAUGUAAUAAGACGAAGUGCUCUUGAAACUAAUUGCUUUUUAUCUUAAUUUGAACAAAAAUAAUUAUUUGAAUAAAGUUAACUUUUGGAAAGGCAAUGCGUCGUAAUUACACGUGAAAUACAUACAGAAAACUCUUUCGAGAUAUUGUGUUCAGUUGAUGUCAAGGAAAAGAUAUACUGCAAUUUAUUGAAAACACUUUACUAACACUUGAAAUCACGGCAUUUUGAAAGUGUAAAUCUGCUCACGUUAUUACAGGUUGUCCACACGUAUUAGAACGAACUCAAUAAAAUUAAGAAUAUGCGGUGUGACGCAUGCUAAGAAUGAACUAACUUUGGUUCUCGGUGUAUUGGCGUUGUGUCUUAUCAGUGACAGACCAACAUUUUCAGUGCUGGAAGGGGACAAAAUAUUUCUUUUACGCUUUCAAACUAGGGGUAGGAUAGAUUUUUUUAGGAAUUAAUAUACAUUUGCUGUUAUAAUGGGGAAAUAAAUCUGAUGAGAAAAAAGUUUCUAAUUGAACUACCAAAUUUCCCUGAAUAGAGUCCAUUUGUGUUUCGUUCGAGACAUUUUGCCAAUAUCAUAAAGCAAAUUUUAAAUAAUACAACUUUUCUUUUCCAAUUUAAGAUAAGUAUGGCAUAAUAUUAGAAAAUGGUUUCUAAAAGCGAGACAGUACACAAACUGUGCACGACAGGGAGCAAAUGUGUGAAUAAUUUUGUAGUCAACCCUUGCUUACUUUUAUACGAUUACGAAAGGAACUGGUAUUAAUUAUUUUUCUACUUUUUGACUGAGAAUCCUAACUGAAAGAUACCAUUUUGCCAGCGUCAUUUUGUACCAAUAUAUCAAACUGAGCGAGUCUGUUGUGCUUUUUUCAAUGAUAUUUUCUAUGUACAAUUUAUGUCAGUCUAGUUUGUGCUCUGUAAAGUUUAUGGCAACAGUGUCCCAUUUUAGAUUCUGAAUCAACAUAUGUUACCAAUAUUUGACAUAUUCAACGUUUAUAAUACAUAUAUUUCACAAUCCUUUAAAACUUCGAACUAUGGGUUGCGAUUAUUAUUAUUAUUAUUAUUAUUAUUAUUAUUAUUAUUAUUAUAUAUAAUGAUUUGUAGUUUCGAUGAGCGCAGACAUCACUUUCAAUUGUAUUACACAGGGAAUUGUAACUCUAAUGAUUACUCCGAAUAAACUCAGAUGUUUGGCUUGUCGUACUUUGUAGUAACACAUUCAAUGCCAUUUCCUUGAUAUUGCGUAUUCUAAGCCAUGCGUUAGUAUCACUGAAGUUAAACGAAUAAAAACUGUUCAUAACUUUCAA